rnacentral:rRNA from 1 species
AGCGAACGCUGGCGGCAGGCUUAACACAUGCAAGUCGAGCGGGCAUCCUUGUGGUGUCAGCGGCAGACGGGUGAGUAACGCGUGGGAACGUGCCCUUCGGUUCGGAAUAACUCAGGGAAACUUGAGCUAAUACCGGAUACGUGCGAGAGCAGAAAGGUUUAUCUGCCGAAGGAUCGGCCCGCGUCUGAUUAGCUAGUUGGUGAGGUUACGGCUCACCAAGGCGACGAUCAGUAGCUGGUCUGAGAGGAUGAUCAGCCACACUGGGACUGAGACACGGCCCAGACUCCUACGGGGGGCAGCAGUGGGGAAAAUUGGACGAUGGGGGAAACCCUGAUCCAGCCAUGCGGCGUGAGUGAUGACGGCUUUAGGGUUGUAAAGCUCUUUUCUCCGGGACAAUAAUGGCGGUGCCGGAGGAAUAAGCCCCGGCUAACUUC